CCAAGGGCGGCAGGCCUACACAUGCAGUCGAGCGGUAGCACAGAGAGCUUGCUCUCGGGUGACGAGCGGCGGACGGGUGAGUAAUGUCUGGGAAACUGCCUGAUGGAGGGGGAUAACUACUGGAAACGGUAGCUAAUACCGCAUAAUGUCGCAAGACCAAAGUGGGGGACCUUCGGGCCUCAUGCCAUCAGAUGUGCCCAGAUGGGAUUAGCUAGUAGGUGGGGUAACGGCUCACCUAGGCGACGAUCCCUAGCUGGUCUGAGAGGAUGACCAGCCACACUGGAACUGAGACACGGUCCAGACUCCUACGGGAGGCAGCAGUGGGGAAUAUUGCACAAUGGGCGCAAGCCUGAUGCAGCCAUGCCGCGUGUGUGAAGAAGGCCUUCGGGUUGUAAAGCACUUUCAGCGGGGAGGAAGGCGUUAAGGUUAAUAACCUUGGCGAUUGACGUUACCCGCAGAAGAAGCACCGGCUAACUCCGUGCCAGCAGCCGCGGUAAUACGGAGGGUGCAAGCGUUAAUCGGAAUUACUGGGCGUAAAGCGCACGCAGGCGGUCUGUCAAGUCGGAUGUGAAAUCCCCGGGCUCAACCUGGGAACUGCAUUCGAAACUGGCAGGCUAGAGUCUUGUAGAGGGGGGUAGAAUUCCAGGUGUAGCGGUGAAAUGCGUAGAGAUCUGGAGGAAUACCGGUGGCGAAGGCGGCCCCCUGGACAAAGACUGACGCUCAGGUGCGAAAGCGUGGGGAGCAAACAGGAUUAGAUACCCUGGUAGUCCACGCCGUAAACGAUGUCGAUUUGGAGGUUGUGCCCUUGAGGCGUGGCUUCCGGAGCUAACGCGUUAAAUCGACCGCCUGGGGAGUACGGCCGCAAGGUUAAAACUCAAAUGAAUUGACGGGGGCCCGCACAAGCGGUGGAGCAUGUGGUUUAAUUCGAUGCAACGCGAAGAACCUUACCUGGUCUUGACAUCCACAGAACUUUCCAGAGAUGGAUUGGUGCCUUCGGGAACUGUGAGACAGGUGCUGCAUGGCUGUCGUCAGCUCGUGUUGUGAAAUGUUGGGUUAAGUCCCGCAACGAGCGCAACCCUUAUCCUUUGUUGCCAGCGGUUCGGCCGGGAACUCAAAGGAGACUGCCAGUGAUAAACUGGAGGAAGGUGGGGAUGACGUCAAGUCAUCAUGGCCCUUACGACCAGGGCUACACACGUGCUACAAUGGCAUAUACAAAGAGAAGCGACCUCGCGAGAGCAAGCGGACCUCAUAAAGUAUGUCGUAGUCCGGAUUGGAGUCUGCAACUCGACUCCAUGAAGUCGGAAUCGCUAGUAAUCGUAGAUCAGAAUGCUACGGUGAAUACGUUCCCGGGCCUUGUACACACCGCCCGUCACACCAUGGGAGUGGGUUGCAAAAGAAGUAGGUAGCUUAACCUUCGGGAGGGCGCUUACCAACUUUGGUUCCCGGU
rnacentral:rRNA from 1 species